GUGUCAGCCGCCGCGGUAAUACGUAGGGGGCUAGCGUUGUCCGGAAUCAUUGGGCGUAAAGAGCGCGUAGGCGGCUCGGUAAGUCCGCUGUAAAAGUCAAAGGCUCAACCUUUGAAUGUCAGUGGAAACUGCCGGGCUAGAGUCCGGAAGAGGCGAGUGGAAUUCCUGGUGUAGCGGUGGAAUGCGCAGAUAUCAGGAGGAACACCAACGGCGAAGGCAGCUCGCUGGGACGGUACUGACGCUGAGGCGCGAAAGCGUGGGGAGCGAACAGGAUUAGAUACCCUGGUAGUCCACGCCGUAAACGAUGGACACUAGGUGUGGGAGGUGUCGACUCCUCCCGUGCCGGCGCUAACGCAUUAAGUGUCCCGCCUGGGGAGUACGGCCGCAAGGCUAAA
rnacentral:rRNA from 1 species